rnacentral:misc_RNA from 1 species
UUUCCGUAGGUGAACCUGCGGAAGGAUCAUUCAUAAUAAAGUGUUUUAUGGCACUUUUUAAAAAUCCAUAUCCACCUUGUGUGCAAUGUUAGAUCUCGUCAAUCUUGGCGAGAUUUUUAUACAUCAACUCAUUCUUUAACUAAUUUGUCUGAAAAAUAUUAUGAAUACUUAAUUCAAAAUACAACUUUCAACAACGGAUCUCUUGGCUCUCGCAUCGAUGGAGAACGCAGC